rnacentral:tRNA from 4 species
GGUUCAUUAGUUCAAUGGUAGAACAGUCGCCUGCAGAGCGAUCGGUAUCAGUUCGAUUCUGGUAUGAACCU